ensembl:lncRNA
AAGAGUUUAAAAAUGAUUUAUUAAACGACCAAUAAGAGAAAAACAGUGACAAACCCUGUUCACUGAACAAUACAAUAGGAAAAGAAAAUACAUUGUUUUUACAAAAACAUUUUUACAACGUUAGGGAGCAACUGAGACUUCAUCAUAAUGUUAUUUGGUGUGUCGGUCCUCGCUCAUCAUUAUUAAGCCGUUAAGAUAGCUGGGCUCCAAUGUCUCAUUCGUCUCAGGGUAGAAGUGCUGAUCUAGGAUCAGUUUUGCCUUUUAGAAGACAAUUAAUAAGAUUGUGUGGACAGGUUGGGACCUGAUCCUGGAUCAGCUCUCAUACUCAGACGCUUGACACACUAUCCCUAAACUAAAAACAGUGUGCUUUAGCAUGAGCAGAAACUGGGGGAGGAUGAUUCAAGAUAUACUUCCUGACUGAGAUUAUUUUUUAUAAGAUUAAUACAUGUAACAUAAAUUAGGUCAUAAUUAGCUCCUCCCCAUCAGCUGGUAAUAAAACAAUAUAAAAAGUAAGUAAAAACAGAAUAUGAGGGUAUCGGGGUUGGGGUCAGUUGAAUUUGAAUUCCUGUCAAUUCAGGAAGUAUAGCGAAAUUCCAAUUCUCCUCAAUGCUUUUCAAUGAGGAUAAUGUGGAUUUGGAACACGCUUCAGUUUCUGAACUGGCUGGAAUCUAAAUGGAGCUGACCUCUGGAGGCGACACCACCUUACUGUUUAACUGUCACACUGUUCUGUCUAGCAUCCACUGGUGGUUGGUGAUAACAUCACGUCUUACACAGGGCCAUCAGUGUGCUGUAUGUGUGCAGGGUUUUGUUCCAGCCCACCACUAACAAAACAACAAAUAAAACUAUUCUUCAUGAAUUAGGUGAAUCAGCACAGCAGGUGUUUUAGUGCUGGGUGGGUGCAAAACCCCGCAGCGCAGCCCUGUACUAUACGCUCAUCCAUAAUAACCCUGGCUACCCUGCAUGGGAGCCUCCCAUAUGACCGCUAACCUCCAUACGUCCCCUAACCUCCAUAUGAUCCCUAACCUCCAUAUGACCCCCAACCUCCAUAUGACCCCCAACCUCCAUAUGACCCCCAACCUCCAUAUGACCCCCAACCUCCA